UGAGCAACCUACCCUCAACUUCGGGAUAAGCCUCGGAAACGGGGUCUAAUACCGGAUAUCACUCCUUACUUCAUGGUUUGGGGUUGAAAGUUCUGGCGGUCGGGGAUGGGCUCGCGGCCUAUCAGCUUGUUGGUGGGGUGAUGGCCUACCAAGGCUACGACGCGUAGCGGGUCUGAGAGGGUGACCGGCCACACUGGGACUGAGACACGGCCCAGACUCCUACGGGAG
rnacentral:rRNA from 1 species